rnacentral:rRNA from 1 species
ACUCCUACGGGAGGCAGCAGUGGGGAAUAUUGCACAAUGGGCGCAAGCCUGAUGCAGCCAUGCCGCGUGUAUGAAGAAGGCCUUCGGGUUGUAAAGUACUUUCAGCAGUGAGGAAGGUGGGUAUGUUAAUAGCAUACUCAUUUGACGUUAGCUGCAGAAGAAGCACCGGCUAACUCCGUGCCAGCAGCCGCGGUAAUACGGAGGGUGCGAGCGUUAAUCGGAAUUACUGGGCGUAAAGCGCAUGCAGGUGGUUUGUUAAGUCAGAUGUGAAAGCCCGGGGCUCAACCUCGGAAUUGCAUUUGAAACUGGCAAACUAGAGUACUGUAGAGGGGGGUAGAAUUUCAGGUGUAGCGGUGAAAUGCGUAGAGAUCUGAAGGAAUACCGGUAGGCGAAGGCGGCCCCCUGGACAGAUACUGACACUCAGAUGCGAAAGCGUGGGGAGCAAACAGGAUUAGAUACCCUGGUAGUCUGC